rnacentral:RNase_P_RNA from 1 species
CGAGGGGGCCAGGUGGCCGCGGGCGCGUGGGGUAACCUACGGCGCCUGAGGAAAGUCCGAACUCCACAGAGCACGAUGCUGGGUAACACCCAGGCGGGGCGACCCGACGGAAUAGUGCCACAGAAAAUAGGUAGCCCUCUGCAGGGGGAACCCCACUGCAGAGGGUCAUAGUGAAAAGGUGGUGUAAGAGACCACCGGCGGGCCAGGUGACUGGCCCGGCCAGGCAAACCCCAUCGGGAGCAAGGCCAAGCAGGAGGUGCCCAAGGGCUAAACCCUUUGGGCCGGGGGCUGCUCGUCCCUGACUCUCCAGGUAGGCCGCCUAGAGAGAUGGCCACCGGCCCACGGAUGCCCCGUGGGCUACAGAAUUCGGCUUAUCGGCCCGCUCGCUCG